UACGUAGGUGGCAAGCGUUGUCCGGAUUUACUGGGCGUAAAGAGCGCGCAGGCGGUCGAAUAAGUCGAAUGUGAAAGCCCCCGGCUCAACUGGGGAGGGUCAUUCGAUACUGCUCGACUUGAAGGCAGGAGAGGGUAGUGGAAUUCCCGGUGUAGUGGUGAAAUGCGUAGAUAUCAGGAGGAACACCGGUGGUGUAGACGGCUUUCUGGACCGACACUGACGCUGAGACACGAAAGCGUGGGUAGCAAACAGG
rnacentral:rRNA from 1 species